ensembl:lncRNA
AGUUCAGAAACUUGUGCAGUUCAGAGCUUAAGAACAUGAGAUAGAAGAGAAGAUCGAUGGACUCAUUCAGGUGGAUUCAAAUGUGGUUAUCUCUGAUUCUGCUGCUUCACAUCACAGUAGCUGUUCAGACCAAACCCUUUGCUGUCACACCUGGAGUUCAGGUCAACCUGCCUUGUAAAAAUGUGACCGAUACUAAGGACAAAUGCAAAAGUACAACCUGGACCUACACUCAUUCAGACAAAUCAAUAACACUGUUUAAAAAGGGAAAGAUUCAUAAAGAUGCCAGAGUUAAAUCAGACAGACUGACACUUGAACCUGACUGCUCUCUGGUUAUAAAGACGGUCACAGCUGAGGAUGAUGGUCGUUACAGCUGCAGACACUUCAGAUCAGGAGAAAGACACGGUGAAGACACUGAUUAUGAUCUGACUGUUGUCACGGGCGAGGCCACAAAACCAAUCAGAGCCAAAGCAACGACAACACCAACAAGUAAAUCAACCAGAUCUACAGCAGCAGCAGCAGAAAGCACACCAUCAGAGACAACCACAGCAGCAUCUACGAUCACUGAUCUAAAACAAGCUUGGUGGUGGUUCGUCAUCGUGGCCGCUGGUGUAGCAGCGCUCAUAAUAACUGUUGUUGCGCUCGUCAGAUGGAGGAGAACUGAAGGUGAGAACGUUCACAGGUUAAACUUUGUGCCAGGAUUUUCACUGCAGAAGCUCACAGUGACACAUUUUGUCUUUUCAGGGAAUAAAACACAGAUGGAAGAAAACACUGUGAGUUUACAUCAUACAAACUAUAUACCAGCUGUUAAAUGUGACUCCUGGAAUUACACCAGUCGAGCUGAAAUGAAGUGGGGAGAUAAAAGAGCGAGUCAUUUUAGAACUACGUGUUACUGAGCAGCCAUGUUGACUCCUCUGUGCAGGCUGAUCCUGAAGAUGGUGUCCACAGUGAAGAUCAGGUGAGCUGGUGAUGAAUGAAAACACUUCAGGGGUCAGAAACACGGGAAAGAUUCUUUAUUCUACCUUUAAAGUUCACAGGCUUCAUUUAUAAAAAAUGUUACACUCAUUAUUCUCACUAUUUCCAACAGUGUGCUCAUCUUCAAUUCAUAAAAAAGCUGGGCAUAGAGAACUGUCCACUUUUCCACACCCUCUCAGUGUUUCCCUCUGGUGUUGCUGUUGCUGGCGUUUUCACAAAUACAGCGGUAGCAGCCUGGCUCCCACUGGCUACUGUCCAACUAAAAAACAAGAGAGAAAAUCCUGAUUGGACCUAGAAAGCCUGAUCUCAGUGCCGUGAAAAGACAGAGUAAGACCCCGUUUACACGAGGACGCUUGCGGGUAAAAACGACAAAUUAUUUUAUCAGAAGUGCCUUUUGUUUAUACGGUGACGGCAUUUUUGGGGCUUGAAAACGCAAAAAUCUGAAACCACCCUCCAGAGUGGAAAAGUUGAAUACGCUUCACCGCAGCGUUUCCGUGAACACUGGCAAAACGCAAAACUCUGCUCAGAUCUGCUCACGCCGCGUACACGUUUACGUCACAUACAUGCGCCAGUACAGGGAAAUAGACAAACAUGUCGGAUUAUUUCCAUGCAUCAG